rnacentral:rRNA from 1 species
AACGAACGCUGGCGGCAUGCCUAACACAUGCAAGUCGAACGAGACCUUCGGGUCUAGUGGCGCACGGGUGCGUAACGCGUGGGAAUCUGCCCUCUGGUACGGAAUAACUCAGGGAACUUGAGCUAAUACCGUAUAAUGACUUCGGUCCAAAGAUUUAUCGCCUGAGGAUGAGCCCGCGUAGGAUUAGCUAGUUGGUGAGGUAAAGCUCACCAAGGCGACGAUCCAGUCUGGUCUGAGAGGAUGAUCAGCCACAC